GAUGAACGCUGGCGGCGUGCCUAAUACAUGCAAGUCGAGCGAACGGACGAGAAGCUUGCUUCUCUGAUGUUAGCGGCGGACGGGUGAGUAGCACGUGGAUAACCUACCUAUAAGACUGGGAUAACUUCGGGAAACCGGAGCUAAUACUGGAUAAUAUUUUGAACCGCAUGGUUCAAAAGUGAAAGACGGUCUUGCUGUCACUUAUAGAUGGAUCCGCGCUGCAUUAGCUAGUUGGUAAGGUAACGGCUUACCAAGGCAACGAUGCAUAGCCGACCUGAGAGGGUGAUCGGCCACACUGGAACUGAGACACGGUCCAGACUCCUACGGGAGGCAGCAGUAGGGAAUCUUCCGCAAUGGGCGAAAGCCUGACGGAGCAACGCCGCGUGAGUGAUGAAGGUCUUCGGAUCGUAAAACUCUGUUAUUAGGGAAGAACAUAUGUGUAAGUAGCUGUGCUCAUCUUGACGGUACCUAAUCAGAAAGCCACGGCUAACUACGUG
rnacentral:rRNA from 1 species